ACAGGUGGUGCAUGGUUGUCUCCAGCUCGUGUCGCGAGAUGUUGGGUUAAAUCCCGCAACGAGCGCAACCCCUGUCUUUCAGUACCACCGAUUAGAGUUGGGGCCUUCUAGAAGACUGGCGGGGAAAACCCGGAAGAAGGGGGGGAUGACCUCCAAAUCUUCUGCCCCUUUAAGGGUGGGCUUCCCCCCUGGCUACAUGGGGCUCAAAAAAAGGAAACCAAACUGGCAAGGGCAGCAAACCCCCAAAAAAAUGUUCCCCUUCGGGAUUGAUUCGCAACUCCCUUACAUGAAACUUGAAA
rnacentral:rRNA from 1 species